rnacentral:misc_RNA from 1 species
GAAAGGUUCUGUUUUCUGUAGUGGCCAUGUAAAUAGGUAUAAAGUAUUUUGGUGCAUUUAAAAAUGUUUCUAUUAUGAGCAAAAGUUUCUUAUUUUACUCUGUUCUGUUACCACAUAUACAUGUAUUUCCUUUUGAAGAUUGAUGUACAAGUACAUACAGUCAAACUUAAAGAAACUGUCACUUCUGAAAAUCAGAAAAUUUUAUAGUUGAUGUUCUUUUGAAUAAAUUUGAUGGUUUAUACAGAGUCAGUUUGAAAAUUUUACAGUAAAUUCAUGUCAGAAAAUAUGAACAGAAAUGUUUUUGAAAAUUUAUGUAGAAAAUGGCUAAAUAAUAUUUUUUGACCAUCAAAGAAAAUUAAUGAUUCCAUGAAAUGAACUGUGCAUUUUCUUCUAAAUACUUCUGUACAGAACAUUUUGUUUUCUUAACAAUGCUUUCCAAAAUAACAUCUAAAUACAUUCUAGGUAUACCUUAUGGAUCAAAAGUUGACAAAAAUGGGUCAGUUAUGUUGCAAAAAGCUAUAUUUUAUAAAGUAUCCACCAAAUAAAUGCAUGUUAUCUUUUGAACCAAGUACUGUAAAUUGUGUUGAGCGAUGUAAUACGCCUGUAUUUGUAUACUAGUACAUGUGUAUUUUGAUAUGUGCUUGUUUAAUUACACCACAAUAUUGAUCAGUAAAAGUGUACAUGACCUGCUGUAGUGGACUUGACACUGAAGGAAAUAUCAGUCAACUCGAUGCUGAAUGUUUUCAUUUAUUCAUAAAAUCUGUGAUAAUGCCAAUACAGAGGAUAACCAAUGAAUAUUUCAGGUGAAUAUUGAAUAAUGGAAAUAAUACCCCGGUAUUUAUUUUCAAAGCGUAAUAAUUACUUAAAAAGUUAUUAGUACAUGUACAUCUAUUACCAAACAAACAUUAAAUUGAAUAUCUUUCCAGUUUCCAGUGUGAUUUCAACCAGGGAAUAAUUUGAACAAGGCUAGUAAAUAUUUGUAUUGUAUUCUGUUGGUCAAUGGUGUAUAUAUUUAUUAUGCUAAUUAUGCAACUGAUAUCCACAAUAAACUGAUUACAA